GUCCCCAUAGCUCAACGGACAGAGCAUCCGCGUCCUAAGCGGGUGAUGCAAGUUCGAUUCUUGCUGGGGACA
rfam:Candidatus Woesebacteria bacterium RIFOXYB1_FTLL_40_26 rifoxyb1_full_scaffold_1961, whole genome shotgun sequence.